GACAGAGGGUGCAACCGUUGCUCGGAAUCACUGGGCGUAAAGGGCGUGUAGGCGGUCAAGAAAGUCGGGCGUGAAAUCCCUGGGCUCAACCCAGGAACUGCACUCGAAACUUCUUUUCUUGAGUGCCGGAGAGGAAAGCGGAAUUCCUGGUGUAGAGGUGAAAUUCGUAGAUAUCAGGAGGAACACCAGUGGCGAAAGCAGCUUUCUGGGACGGUACUGACGCUGAGACGCGAAAGCGUGGGGAGCGAACAGG
rnacentral:rRNA from 1 species